rnacentral:lncRNA from 10 species
GCGCUGGCCCUGGGCUUGCCGAGCAUCCAAGCUCUCUAGGCCUGCCCUCGACCCCCCAAGCCCUUGUUCUCACCCCACCCCAAUCCACCCGUGGCCCCUCACCUUCCAUAGCUGCACACUCCUUAUUGUUCAGGAACAAAGGCAGUUCAGAUUUUUGAAAAAGAAGGAGAACAAAUAAACUCCGCGGAACUCAUCCUGCUUCCCUUGUUUUGCAUGAAGUCGCUGAAGGAAAGUGAGGUCCACAAUCUGCCAGACACCAGGACGACUCUUCCCGGGGUGACACAGCCUACCAGGUGCAGAAAACCUCAACCAAGCCACCCAACCCCAGUGAGUAACAGAGACCAGGACUUGGCCUGGGCAGGGGUGGGGCAGGUCCGCUGGGCUUGGAGUGACCACAGCUGCCUCACUCUGGAGAGGCACCACUACCUGGAAGGACAACAAUAAUGCUCUUCACUACCCUGCUGGUCAUCCCUGCCUCCUGGCACUCAAGCUGUCUGUGGGCAUUACCUCUUGGAGGCCAUCACUUUCCCUUGGGAUCAAGCAGCACCAUCCCAGGUGGAGUGAGGAGAAACAGAGGCAACCAACGCAACAGAAGUUGCCAAGAAGGGAGGACCCAGAGAGGAGCUGCCGUGGCCUGUGUGCCAAACAUCUGUCACCUCAGCCGAUGCCUAGAUGCUGUGAAUGCCAAACCUAGGAUCUUGCUUCUUUGAUCUGCUCCUUCAGUGUCUCUCCAAAAGGGUCCUAGGAUCUUGACCUCGGCCCAGCUGAGGCUGACUCCUCCUCCCUGGACCCUGGGAUGGUGGUGUGUUGAGGGCAGGCAGGCACUGGCUUGCUGUCCACUCUGGGCUGCCACACACCUUGCUGGCACCUGCCUGGCGCCCCAAGGGGCCUGGCCCAAGCCUCAUCUUUGCAGGACAGGACCUUGAUUCCCUGUUCCACCCCCACUCCCAUUCUGUGAACUUUUAUCACAUUAAUCAAACUCUCAAAGCAGCUAAGUAAUAGACUUCACCACAUUCACUUGAGAAUAAUAGAGACCAAAAUGCCAAUGUAUUAAUUACCUGCAGGAGCUCUGUAUUAGUCUGCUUGGGCUGCAAUAAGAAAAUACCACUUACUGAGGGGCUUAAGCGACAGAAAUUUUAUUUUCUCACAGUUCUGGAGACUAGAAGUCCAAGAUCAAGGUCUCUGCAGGGUUGGUUUCUUCGGAGGCCUCUUUCCUUGGCUUGUAGAUGAUUGCCUUCCCACUGUGUCCUGACACAAUCUUUCCUUUGUGCACACACACCCUGGUGUCUCUCUGUGUGUCUAAAUUCCCUCUUCUUAUGAGGACAACAGUCAGAUUGGAUUAAGCCCACCCUAAUAGCUUUAUUUUAACUCGAUUAUCUUUGUAAAGGCCCUAUCUCCAAAUAAGGUCACGUUCUGAGGUCCUGAGACUUCAACAUAUGAAUUUGAGGGGAACAAUUCAGCCCAUAAGUUCAGUCUGGAGUGAGUAAUGGGAUUGACCUUGGGCACAGAACUUCCUGAUGGGCAGACAGACCUACCCAGGAGCCUGGGCCCUGGGUCCAAAGAUUGCUUGGCCAUUUAAAGAGGACCACAGAAACUUUGAGGCUUCUCCUAUGGAGAAGUGGGGUCAGUUACCCCUUCCCUGAGUCUGGGCUGGGCCCAAGCUGCUUUGACUAAUGGAGGAUGGCAGAAGUGAUGCCAUGCCAGUGUCAGGCUUAGACUUUUCAAAGGCUCCUGCCUUGGUUCCUUGGAGCUCCAAGUCACCAUGUGAGAAGCUGGACCACACUGCUGGAGAGACCCCGUGGAAUGGUCACAAUGCUACAUGGAAAGGGAGAGAAGCCCUGCUGAGCCAGCCCUCCAGCCUCCCUUGCCAAGGCACCAGGCACAGGAGUGGGGCCAUCUUGGAUCCUCCAGACUAGAGCAGUUACUAGAUGAAUAUCAUCAAGUGACCCCAUUCAAUGCCAUGUGUUGCUGAAGAAUCACCCAACUGAGCCCUGCCCUAAUUCCUGACCCCCAUCAUCAUGAAAGAUAAUAAAAUGGCUGUUGUUUUAAGCCACUAGGUUUUAGGGUCCUCUGUGAUGCAGCAAGGGUUCACUGGAGGGUUUAGUAACUAUGGAAGUGAUAUAACAGGAGUUGGAUGAUGUUGAGGGAUAUUCUUGCCAGGCUGGUGAAGAAGGACUGGUGAGUCACUGUCCCCUCCACAGUGAGAGCAUGGCUGAGCAGGCUGGGCUGUCUGCUACCUUCCCAUCUGGGGUUAAGAGAGCAGGCAAUCUCUUUCUUCCCAAGCUCCAUCUUCAGGAAUCUGAGAAAGCCCUGGACUGGGCACUGUUGCCAUUCUGGAGGCUGUGAAGGGUCAGGAAAAGGCAGAGAAGAGGAACUGCCAUUUCUUAGCACCUCCAAUGAGCUUCUGAGUUCCUCAUGGGUGAGAUUCCCUUUAAUUUGCCCCGCUCUCCUGCCAGGAGGCCCAGUUCCAGCCAAGAUCCCAAACAACAGAUAGUGAGAACCUCUGCACAUGAGAGGGGGCCUUUGGGUGCUCCCACCCCAGACUCCCAGCUGCCCCAGCUGACACCGAGUGGAGGAGAAAGAAGCUGUCUCCAUCAUGCCCCAUUGAAAUUGCAGGUUGGUGAGCAAAAUA